rnacentral:rRNA from 1 species
CCUACGGGAGGCAGCAGUGGGGAAUCUUGCGCAAUGGCCUAACGGCUGACGCAGCGACGCCGCGUGAGGGAUGACGCUCUUCGGAGUGUAAACCUCUUUUGUCUGAGACGAAUUGUCAGCAUUAGCUGAUUUGACGGUAUCAGGCGAAUAAGCAUCGGCUAACUCCGUGCCAGCAGCCGCGGUAAU